GACUCCUUAGCUCAACCGGAUAGAGCAGCUGCCUUCUAAGCAGCAGGUUACAGGUUCGAGUCCUGUAGGGGUCGCCA
rnacentral:tRNA from 1 species